rnacentral:rRNA from 1 species
GCCGUGCGGCGUUCUUACACAUGCAAGUCGAACGGUGAACACGGAGCUUGCUCUGUGGGAUCAGUGGCGAACGGGUGAGUAACACGUGAGCAACCUGCCCCUGACUCUGGGAUAAGCGCUGGAAACGGCGUCUAAUACUGGAUAUGUGACGUGACCGCAUGGUCUGCGUUUGGAAAGAUUUUUCGGUUGGGGAUGGGCUCGCGGCCUAUCAGCUUGUUGGUGAGGUAAUGGCUCACCAAGGCGUCGACGGGUAGCCGGCCUGAGAGGGUGACCGGCCACACUGGGACUGAGACACGGCCCAGACUCCUACGGGAGGCAGCAGUGGGGAAUAUUGCACAAUGGGCGAAAGCCUGAUGCAGCAACGCCGCGUGAGGGAUGACGGCCUUCGGGUUGUAAACCUCUUUUAGCAGGGAAGAAGCGAAAGUGACGGUACCUGCAGAAAAAGCGCCGGCUAACUACGUGCCAGCAGCCGCGGUAAUACGUAGGGCGCAAGCGUUAUCCGGAAUUAUUGGGCGUAAAGAGCUCGUAGGCGGUUUGUCGCGUCUGCUGUGAAAUCCCGAGGCUCAACCUCGGGCCUGCAGUGGGUACGGGCAGACUAGAGUGCGGUAGGGGAGAUUGGAAUUCCUGGUGUAG